GCAAGUGAUUCUCAGUUCAGAUGUCUAGAAUAAAGGUCUAAAAAUAAACAGCAAUUUAAAGAAAUUCAAAAUAGCUUUGACCAUUGAGCACUUCUAGAAACAUCUAGCAAAAUUUUCAUUCUUAAUAUAUAAAGUUCCUUAGUUAAAAAAAAUCAACUAAUACCUCUUUAUUUAAUUGUAUCAAAUAACAAUUUCCCUUGUUUUUUUUAUGUUAAGAUAUGAUUUGUAUAUAAGGUUUAACACA
rnacentral:lncRNA from 1 species